rnacentral:lncRNA from 1 species
AUAAUUUAGUUCUUUGCCAUGUUAACUUGUUUGGAAAGGUUAUCUCUGUACACCAGGACUCUAGGGUGAACUUUUGCUGUUAAAAUCUAGUGUAGGAAAGAAGAAAACAUGUACAGAAUGCGUGCAAAUUCUGUCUACGUUCUAGGAGUUACACAGAGAUGAAAACAACCAAUUAGAAUCACUAGAAACACUGUUGAUCUAAGUCUUAUUCUCGCAACAGUAAAUGACAAUGAUCUUUUGCUCUGCCGGCGAUCCAGAGUUCCAUCUCUUGCUUGACCAUGUUCAUGAACUGGGCAGUUGGGGAUGUUGAACCCUGGAAUACCCAGCUGUUGUGCUCUUUCCAAAUGAUCCACAAUGUUAAAAUGACCGAGAGUCAACUCCUUUUUUGGUCCUCAUCCAACAUUGUGUAGGAAAGAGGCCUUAUUUAUGUAGGAUUUGAUGAGAAACUUCUGACUGACGUUGCUUCAGUAUCCGGCCUGAAAUUUGCUCAAUAUGUUAAUAAAAUUUAAUAUAUUGUAGGAGAAGCAUGUGAUGCAUUUACUUGUAAUUUCUUAGAAAUCCUUAUUUUCUUUUUGGGUAAUGCCAUCAUGAAGAUGUUACUGUGCCAAGAUUACAACUAUUUAGAGUCGGACUAAUCCACCAUUGAAAGUUGAAUUAUUAAGUUUUCGGUAAUUGAUUUCCAAAUAAUAAGGUGGUUAUGCAUUUAAAUGAUUUAGAAGUAGUAUGCUCUCAUUCUUUACAUGAUGUUUUAUUUGGUAAUUAUGAUGAGGUUCCAGUUUCUAGACUUACAUUCAGUUCACAUCUUCCCUGGCUUUGUAAUUACCUUCUUGGUCAGCUAUCUUUAUGUUGAAUGAUCUGCAUGGUUGGUGUUUACUUAUUCUGCAUUUUAUAUAUGCACCCGGUGGUUUCGUAGGCAUUUAUGAUGUUCCCCACUUCAUCAAGACAUUGAAAUAUGAUGUUCGACUUGUUAUGAGCAUUCCAGAAAUCACUGCAAAUGGAAAGACCAAGAAGCUCAAGGCACAUCAGGUGAAUAGAUUUGAAGGACACUAAAUUCAGUUGUGCUUAUAUCGUUUCCAUAUCUUUAAAGUCAACUUUUUAGGAGCAUACUAUACUCUUGGGACACUCUUUAUCUCAACAGAUUCGACCACCUAGAGAUGCACCAGUAUCUUGGUAUGCAACAGUUGCUUUGGAGGAAGAAAUGUGGGGCUGUAUAUUUAUGUUGUGGACGCUUUCUUUGGAAAGCAAUUCCCGCGCAGGAAGAAGUCCCAGGCAACUACUAGUGGCUAGAAUUUUCCUCUCUGUUUUGGUUUGUUAGGAUUUGUUUGAGUCAAGUUAGAGAUAGAUCUCAAGGUUGUUAGGAGGUUCCUUAUAUGUACCAGAGACGGAUCGAAUAGAGAUCAAGCAUAGAUUAAACCCUAAACUGAGAGCCUCCUCGGAGGGCGAGUUGGUUCUAUCUCCCUGCUGCCGAGUUUAUUAGUCCAAUAAACUAGCCAUAUCAAUUUAACUCCAUUUUCACACUGUUUGGCAGAAGAUAUUGAUGAUCCAGAGCUUCAGAGAUUGAGAUGCAGGGUGAAGUAUCAUGCGCUACGAUUCAAGCCACAUAUCAUGAAAACCAGCAGUGAGAUAGUGAACAAGGUCCUCUCAGAAGGCCAUUUCAUGUCGAUUCAUCUUCGUUUUGAGUUGGAUAUGCUUGCAUUUGCCGGGUAUGAAUUUGACUAAGUUAUCGUAAAGUCAUCACUUAGUGCUGAAUAAAUCGCAUCCUGCUUAUUUUGUAUCCAUUGGAGAAGUCCAUGCCUGAAUUCUUUAAUAUAGGCUUAAGAAAGACUUCACAAGAGCUAAUCCUUGUGUAAAAAUCACAACAUUCAUUCAUAUAUAUAUAUAUAUAUAUAUAUAUCAAACUAUUAGUAUAAAGUCAUACACCAAUCAAAACUAUUAUCAUUAUGCAUGUUUAGUUCAUUGACUUUGACUAGUGUUGAUAACUUAUACGUGAAAUGGUGAAAGCUUGAUGCAGUGGUCAUUACUUGCUGUGCCAUUUUUUUUACCUUAUACCAAAAUGAAAAUUGCAGGUGCAUUGACAUAUUCACGCCUCAUGAACAGAAAAUUCUGUUGAAGUACAGGAAAGAACAUUUUGCAGAAAAGUUACUUGUCACCAGGGAGAGAAGGCUCAUUGGAAAGUGCCCUUUAACUCCAGAAGAGGUACUGAAUCUUCUUAUAGACAUUGUUCCAGAUGUUCCUUAAGAGCUAAUAACUAGUUGUAUGUUCAAAUGAAAAGUUAUUUGCUUUGAAUGGGGUGCAAGCUUAAGCUCAUUACCUGUUCAGGUAAACGUAGUGGUUCUGACGCUUACGUUACCGUACCUGAGUACAGUUUGACCUCCGGGUGUUUUCCAAGAGCUUCUUUUUUCAUUUACAUGUACCCUCAGAUGCAUCCUAGUUCAGUUUUGUAGCAGAGCUAAUGGGUACAUUUGUACAUUUUAGUAUUUAUAUUACAUUUCUAUUUUAAACAAUUAACAAUGGGUUAUAUUCUAAAAUUAGCUGACAUGAAUACAUAUUCCCUUCAUGUAUUGUGAACAGUUUGCUGUUCUACUUCUACCUAGGCAAUCUGUGAUCUACAUCAUUUUGUUUUCCCCACUGACGAUUUGUGUGUAUUAAUGCUGUUCUAAUUUCCAUGAUUGGUUGAAAAUCACAUACCAUUCUGUACUCUUAGCAUUAAAUGAAUCAUUUUGAUUGAUACAAAAUGAUUAUAUGGAGCAAAAUUGAAACAUAUAUAGGCUAAUAUUAUUUCUUAGUAAAGCAGAAAAAUAAGGAAAAGACACUGAAAAAUCAAUAGCAUAGCUGAUAUUGCAUAAAUAACUGACGUAAUUCAAUGUUCUAUUUAUAUUGUUGUGCAGGAAGAUCUUAUUCUACGUGCUAUGGGAUUUGACAAUACAACACUCAUUUACCUUGCUUCUGGUGAGCUCUUUGGUGGGAAACGCUUCAUGAAGCCAUUCGAGGCUACGUUUCCACGCCUAGAGAACCACAGCACGGUUGGGCCUGGAAAACUGGAAGAAAAUACCCAAAGGGCUAGCGGGAUCGGCAGUUGAUUACAUGACACUACUCCACAAUACCCCAUCAUUACCGGUUCUAAAAGGGUUUCACCGCCGGUUCAGCGGUCCCUUGGAUUAAAGUCGAUGGUGAUAGGAGUCGCUAUCACCACCGGGUCUAUAACCGACGGUGAUGCUUGUUAAAAAAAAAAAUCACCUCUGCUGCCCUCCUGCAGUGCUGCCGCGCUCCCUCUGCCUCGCCCUCCUGCUGUGC